GGUCCCGUGUGGCUCAGUUGGUAGAGCGUGGUGCUUGCAAUGCCAGGGUUCUGGGUUCAAAUCCCAUGUGGGACCA